GAAAACAGGAAUACAAGAAUAAUCAACAGUCUUUGUAGCAUUCACAAAGAGACAACGUAACGCAUUUGCCAGUAGCAGUCGGUCCAUAUUUCCAAAUACAAGCAGCCAUGCAUCUGGCAUCCAUGCCACACUCGUCAUGUACCUUUGCUGUUCCUCUGUAGCAACUUCUUCCUUCUACCUCCACCACUCCAUUGUUUCCUGCAUCAUCAUCGAACACCAAACAUUAUUAAUUUCACCUUUCUGUACAAAUACUAUUACACUAAUUGACGGAUUUUGUGUGGUUGAUUGUUCUUGCCGAGGACAAGUAGAAACGCCAGUAGAAGAGAGAUGAGAAGCGAUGAAAUCGAACCCUUGUUCAUGGUUCAGAUUUUGAAGUGACAAA
rnacentral:lncRNA from 1 species